AUUAAGUUCCCCGCCUGGGGAGUACGGCCGCAAGGCUAAAACUCAAAGGAAUUGACGGGGGCCCGCACAAGCGGCGGAGCAUGCGGAUUAAUUCGAUGCAACGCGAAGAACCUUACCAAGGCUUGACAUACACCGGAAUCACUCAGAGAUGGGUGCGUCUUCGGACUGGUGUACAGGUGGUGCAUGGUUGUCGUCAGCUCGUGUCGUGAGAUGUUGGGUUAAGUCCCGCAACGAGAGCAACCCUCGUUCUAUGUUGCCAGCACGUGAUGGUGGGGACUCAUAGGAGACUGCCGGGGUCAACUCGGAGGAAGGUGGGGAUGACGUCAAAUCAUCAUGCCCCUUAUGUCUUGGGCUUCACGCAUGCUACAAUGGCCGGUACAAAGGGCUGCGAUACCGCGAGGUGGAGCGAAUCCCAAAAAACCGGUCUCAGUUCGGAUUGGGGUCUGCAACUCGACCCCAUGAAGUCGGAGUCGCUAGUAAUCGCAGAUCAGCAACGCUGCGGUGAAUACGUUCCCGGGCCUUGUACACACCGCCCGUCAAGUCACGAAAGUCGGUAACACCCGAAGCCGGUGGCCCAACCCUUGUGGGGGGAGCCGUCGAAGGUGGGACUGGCGAUUGGGACUAAGUCGUAACAAGGUAGCCGUACCGGAAGGUGCGGCUG
rnacentral:rRNA from 1 species